AUUGAACGCUGGCGGCAUGCCUUACACAUGCAAGUCGAACGGUAACGCGGGGCAACCUGGCGACGAGUGGCGAACGGGUGAGUAAUGUAUCGGAACGUGCCCAGUUGUGGGGGAUAACUGCUCGAAAGAGCAGCUAAUACCGCAUACGACCUGAGGGUGAAAGCGGGGGAUCGCAAGACCUCGCGCAAUUGGAGCGGCCGAUAUCUGAUUAGGUAGAUGGUGGGGUAAAGGCCCACCAAGCCAACGAGCUGUAGCUGGUCUGAGAGGACGACCAGCCACACUAGGACGGAGACACGGCCCAGACUCCUACGGGAGGCAGCAGUGGGGAAUUUUGGACAAUGGACGCAAGUCUGAUCCAGCCAUGCCGCGUGCGGGAAGAAGGCCUUCGGGUUGUAAACCGCUUUUGUCAGGGAAGAAAAGGGCGACUCUAAUACAGUUGCCUCAUGACGGUACCUGAAGAAUAAGCACCGGCUAACUACGUGCCAGCAGCCGCCGUAACAC
rnacentral:rRNA from 1 species